CAGGAGAGCCACAAAUGAGCGGGCCAUCCACUUCAUCCUUUCAACAGGUUGACCAGACCUCUGCUUUUGUGCCUUUUAGUGGGACAGUAACUGGAGAACAGCUUAGAGCAAUACGCUGUCUACAAAAUCUAAAACGACAUCAUGAUCAGUGUGAGAAACGUUAUGAUGACGCUAAGAUGAAAAAUUAGAGAGAG